rnacentral:lncRNA from 10 species
GGGGCUCCAGCAGUUUCCAGGCUCCCCUCGGCGGGGCUGAAUGAUCAAAACUGGUGGUGAGAAUUUUUCCGGGCCGUUUCUAGGCAGCCCUCCCCCUCCACCAGCUCGGACCCCCCCCUCCCUCCUUUCUCCUUCUCCUCCCUUUUCCUUCUCCCCUCCCCCAGCGUCUGGGCUGAGUGAUCAAAAUAGAGGAAGAUGGUUGUCGCCGCAAUCCAGGGCUUUGCAAGGCGCGGUUUAAUGGGCCGCCUGUCAGCUUCCUGCUCGCAGGAGGAGGUGACAAGCCAAGCGAGCCGGAGAGGGCCUGGGGCCCGGCUGGCUGCACCCCGCACUCCGGGCCCCGGCCCCCGGCCUCCCCUGGGGUGCGCUUCUAGUACGCGCGGUGGAGACGCCGAAACAGACAAGGGCUGCUUUUUCCCUUGUUUUUUUUUUCUUCCUUUUAAAACAAAGCAGCGAUUCAUUCCCUCUCCCCCAGCAGCGCGGUCGGGUGGGAUGGGCAGGCGAGAAGGCCGUUUUCCUAGCACUGACCUACGGGUCCCUCCCUGAAACGCGGUGUCAGAUGGUUACUGAUUAAUAUUUUGGAGAGGCCGCGGCGGCAGGCAGCGGCAAAAUCCUUUCUGGGCAUUACGUACCCUGGAAAGGAAGCUUGGAGGGGCAGAAAUCCUUCCAAUGCUGCCUCGAAGAGCAACUGCAGUGAUAAGAUUUUAAUUAAAACAAGAGAAGCCCGCUCUUUCGCCCCGCGCUGCGGACUCAGCGUUUUCGCAUUGCCCGUUCUGUUUUUUUUAAAUCAAUUUUUAAGGCAACUUUUUGGGAGGGGGGAAAAAUGAGCGAGUUAGUGCCCAUUCGUUCUAUUUUCUUUUCUCCACUUUUAGAAAAAAGUGGGGGGAGGCUUCGAGAACGAACGGGGGGGUGUCUAAUUUAAUUCCAGGAUAAAUUUGAGGAAAAAAGUUCAGCCUCUUGAGGGCAGUUUCAAGUUGCCCUUCCUGGAGCUUCCUGCGUUAGUUUCUAGGCUGCCCUCUUUUGGAAGCUGUAGCUCCGCUGGGGAGGAGGGAGGAGUGAGAAGGAAAGAAAGGAACAAAAAUAGCCGGAGCCGAGGGGAACAAGCCACGGUGUCCGCGUUUGGAGCUGGGCGUGCGGGUCUCAGUGGCGGCCUCGGCAUUCGGGGCGGCGGGAGGCGCCCGGUGCAUCCCCGGGACGGCCAGGAGCAAAGACGGAGAGGAGAGGGGGGUUAGAGAAAGGAGGUAUUGUGUCUGUGUGCCUUAGGGGAGGAGGGGACUGCAGGAAUCGAAUAAACGCAGUCGAGCUGCGCGGGGCUGCUGGAAGCCCAGGCGGGGGAAGGGGGCCGUGUGUGGGGGCGCAGAGCGCCCUUGAGCCUUACGCAGAGGUCUUGUGUGUUCCUAGUUAAGCCCUCCCACGCCCGAGGCCCCAUCGCUUCCUCUCCACCCUCUUUACCCACCAAUAUUCCAAGCCCAGAUCCUAAUUCCCCACCGCAUUACCCCGCCCUGGAUUUGGGGAAUGUUUUUCUUUAUUUUAAUAUAGCUCAAGGAAAAAAUACGUAUAUCUUGAGAGAUUUGGGGUGGGGAAAACAAAAGCCUUGCGGAGUAGAAAAAACAAAGGCUUAUUUUUAUAAAUGUUUAAUGUUUUCACCCCCUGGAUGCUCCGAGACGCCGUAAUUGUGACGGCGGGGUACGUGUGCCAUAA